rnacentral:rRNA from 1 species
UACGUAGGGUGCAAGCGUUGUCCGGAAUUAUUGGGCGUAAAGAGCUCGUAGGCGGUUUGUCGCGUCGAAUGUGAAAACCCGGGGCUCAACCCCGGGCCUGCAUUCGAUACGGGCAGACUAGGGUUCGGUAGGGGAGUCUGGAAUUCCUGGUGUAGCGGUGAAAUGCGCAGAUAUCAGGAGGAACACCGGUGGCGAAGGCGGGACUCUGGGCCGAUACUGACGCUGAGGAACGAAAGCAUGGGGAGCGAACAGG